UUCCAAGAGAGGCUCCCAGUCAAUGGGGUGGGGCGGGGAAGAGGAAGGGCCCCAGGGUUGGAUGCUUCUGCUGCUGAGUUGGUGGGUCUGAGGGCAGGGCCCAGGGUGGAUGGCACAACCCCUGGUUUAGCUGAGCGCAUGAGUUGUAGGAAUUGGAAAGAGAAGCAGGGGGCAGAUUUGAAGUAGAGGAAAAAGACCAGUCGCUGAAGGAAAAUAAGAAGAAUCAGUGUCUGUGCAGGAGGACUUGAGGGAGGGAACAGUAAAACAGGAAGCUAGGAGGAACAACGGCACCCAGCCAUGGUGAGGUCUGCUCCACACCCUGCCUCGACUCUUCUCUUGCUGCUUCCUGGAUGCCAUGGAUUGAGUAGCUUUCCUCCGCCAUGCCUUUUCUGCUUUGGAGCCAACUGACCACAGACUGAACCCUCUGAAACUGUGAGCCAC
rnacentral:lncRNA from 1 species